CUGAGCUGAUGACGAGUCGUCAUUUAGAUGACGAAGUGGUUGAUGCCAUGCUUCCAAGAAAAGCUUCUAAGCUUCAGGUAACCAGGAACCGUACCCCAAACCGACACAGGUGGUCGGGUAGAGAAUACCAAGGCGCUUGAGAGAACUCGGGUGAAGGAACUAGGCAAAAUGGCACCGUAACUUCGGGAGAAGGUGCGCCGGCUAGGGUGAAGGAUUUACUCCGUAAGCUCUGGCUGGUCGAAGAUACCAGGCCGCUGCGACUGUUUAUUAAAAACACAGCACUCUGCAAACACGAAAGUGGACGUAUAGGGUGUGACGCCUGCCCGGUGCCGGAAGGUUAAUUGAUGGGGUUAGCGCAAGCGAAGCUCUUGAUCGAAGCCCCGGUAAACGGCGGCCGUAACAAUAACGGUCCUAAGGUAGCGAAAUUCCUUGUCGGGUAAGUUCCGACCUGCACGAAUGGCGUAACGAUGGCGGCGCUGUCUCCACCCGAGACUCAGUGAAAUUGAAAUCGCUGUGAAGAUGCAGUGUAUCCGCGGCUAGACGGAAAGACCCCGUGAACCUUUACUGUAGCUUUGCACUGGACUUUGAGCCUGCUUGUGUAGGAUAGGUGGGAGGCUUUGAAGCGUGGACGCCAGUUCGCGUGGAGCCAUCCUUGAAAUACCACCCUGGCAUGCUUGAGGUUCUAACUCUGGUCCGUAAUCCGGAUCGAGGACAGUGUAUGGUGGGCAGUUUGACUGGGGCGGUCUCCUCCUAAAGAGUAACGGAGGAGUACGAAGGUGCGCUCAGACCGGUCGGAAAUCGGUCGCAGAGUAUAAAGGCAAAAGCGCGCUUGACUGCGAGACAGACACGUCGAGCAGGUACGAAAGUAGGUCUUAGUGAUCCGGUGGUUCUGUAUGGAAGGGCCAUCGCUCAACGGAUAAAAGGUACUCCGGGGAUAACAGGCUGAUACCGCCCAAGAGUUCAUAUCGACGGCGGUGUUUGGCACCUCGAUGUCGGCUCAUCACAUCCUGGGGCUGAAGCCGGUCCCAAGGGUAUGGCUGUUCGCCAUUUAAAGUGGUACGCGAGCUGGGUUUAGAACGUCGUGAGACAGUUCGGUCCCUAUCUGCCGUGGACGUUUGAGAUUUGAGAGGGGCUGCUCCUAGUACGAGAGGACCGGAGUGGACGAACCUCUGGUGUUCCGGUUGUCACGCCAGUGGCAUUGCCGGGUAGCUAUGUUCGGAAAAGAUAACCGCUGAAAGCAUCUAAGCGGGAAACUUGCCUCAAGAUGAGAUCUCACUGGGAACUUGAUUCCCCUGAAGGGCCGUCGAAGACUACGACGUUGAUAGGCUGGGUGUGUAAGCGUUGUGAGGCGUUGAGCUAACCAGUACUAAUUGCCCGUGAGGCUUGACCA
rnacentral:rRNA from 1 species